rnacentral:tRNA from 1 species
AGUCGGGUAGCUCAGAGGCAGAGCGACGCUCUUACAAAGCGAAGGUCGAGAUUUCGAAAUUCUCUCCGACUACCA